UACGAAGGGGGCUAGCGUUGUUCGGAAUUACUGGGCGUAAAGCGCACGUAGGCGGAUCGAUCAGUCAGGGGUGAAAUCCCGGAGCUCAACUCCGGAACUGCCCUUGAUACAGCAAGCCUUGAGUCCGGAAGAGGUAGGUGGAAUUCCUAGUGUAGAGGUGAAAUUCGUAGAUAUUAGGAAGAACACCAGUGGCGAAGGCGGCCUACUGGUCCGGCACUGACGCUGAGGUGCGAAAGCGUGGGGAGCAAACAGG
rnacentral:rRNA from 1 species